UGGGGAAUCUUGCGCAAUGGGGGAAACCCUGACGCAGCGACGCCGCGUGCGGGAUGAAGGCCUUCGGGUUGUAAACCGCUUUCAGCAGGGACGAGGCCUUAUGGUGACGGUACCUGCAGAAGAAGCUCCGGCUAAAUACGUGCCAGCAGCCGCGGUAAUACGUAUGGAGCAAGCGUUAUCCGGAUUCAUUGGGCGUAAAGCGCUCGUAGGCGGUCUGUUAGGUCGGCAAGUUAAAUCCGGGGGCUCAACCCCCGUCCGCUUCCGAUACCGGCAGACUUGAGUUUGGUAGGGGAAGGUGGAAUUCCUAGUGUAGCGGUGGAAUGCGCAGAUAUUAGGAAGAACACCGGUGGCGAAGGCGGCCUUCUGGACCAUAACUGACGCUGAGGAGCGAAAGCUAGGGGAGCGAACAGG
rnacentral:rRNA from 1 species